UUGAUCAUGGCUCAGGAUGAACGCUAGCGGCAGGCUUAAUACAUGCAAGUCGAGGGGCAGCAGCUUUAUAGCAAUAUAGAGGCUGGCGACCGGCAAACGGGUGCGGAACACGUACACAACCUUCCUUUAAGUGGGGGAUAGCCCAUAGAAAUGUGGAUUAAUACCCCGUAAUAUUAUUGAAGUGGCAUCACUUUAUAAUUAUAGUUUCGACGCUUGAAGAUGGGUGUGCGGCUGAUUAAGUAAUUGGCGGGGUAAAAGCCCACCCAGCCCUCGAUCAGUAGCUGAUGUGAGAAGCAUGAUCAGCCACACGGCACUGAGACACGGGCCCGACUCCUACGGGAGGCAGCAGUAAGGAAUAUUGGUCAAUGGACGCAAGUCUGAACCACCCUGCCGCGUGGAAGGAUGAAGGUCUCCGGAUUGUAACUUCUUUUUAGGGGGCGAAAAAAGGGAUUCUUUCCACUUGACAGUACCCUAUGAUA
rnacentral:rRNA from 1 species